UACAGGGGGGGCAAGCGUUGUUCGGAAUUACUGGGCGUAAAGGGCGCGUAGGCGGCUUAUCAAGUCAGGCGUGAAAUUCCCGGGCUCAACCUGGGGGCUGCGCUUGAUACUGAUGAGCUUGAAUGCGGGAGAGGAUAGUGGAAUUCCCAGUGUAGAGGUGAAAUUCGUAGAUAUUGGGAAGAACACCGGUGGCGAAGGCGGCUAUCUGGCCCGUAAUUGACGCUGAGGCGCGAAAGCGUGGGGAGCAAACAGG
rnacentral:rRNA from 1 species